UUCUUAAAAAUAUCAAGUCGAACAAGGUUGUUAAGUUCUCAGGAUCAGCUGUUCUGCAACAUUGUCAUUUUCUCGGACAACCACGAAAUACGACGGAUUUGGAGCACACUCAAAAUUAGUUAGCGAUUUUGUGUCCGAGGCAUUCACCAUGCUUGGGAAUAUACCAAUGUAGUCGCGUGGGAGGGAAAAGAAAGAAAACGACGAAGUCGUUCCUUCUAGUUCGCGACGACGACACGAAAGACCGCCACUUUACAGAACUCGAGCUUGUUACCGACCAGCCGGAGCUGAGUUCGAAUACGAAGUUCGUUUAGCUGGGUUGCUAACGGCACCAGUACUGAACAGCUGGGCUAUUCCACUCGGCCAGGUUAGGCUAGGUAACAUGGAAAAUGGCAUACGUAUAUUACACCGUAUGCACGCCUGCGUAGCACACUGUUACACGCAUACAAAGAGAGGGAAGGCAAAUUAAAUCUUCCACGGACCAGAGAGAUAACGAUAAACGUAUAGAGGAUUGUGGCAAUGCUGUGGCAACAAGGGAAAGUGGAAUUUGGGCUACACGCAGGAUUGCACGCGAGAGCGAGAGAGCGAGCGAAUGGAUUUCGUGGGGAUGCAAGACACUGGAGCACGGACGGGGACGGCAAAUGACGUAAGAUAAGAUAAGGCAAGGUGAGGUUUGGUGAGCUGAGAGAGCUCCUUAUGGGCAUCCUUAUAAGGCUGCGGCGCCCACGUGUGUGCGGCUCUCGACGACAUGCGGUGCGCUUUCGGACAAGGACUUAUACACGUUUCUCUACAUCUUUCUUUUUUAUCAUUGGCUACGUACACGGUAGGGAGAAACACGGGAUGGAUCUUGUAUCUUAAACAACGUGACACGCGCAUUCCUGCAUCCUGGAAUGCAUUAGGCAUGAAAAGGUCAGAUCAGGUUGUGCGCCAUUUUACGAAAAUCAUCUUUAUAAAUGCCAGUAGAAUAAUGUAAUAUAAAAAUAUUUCAUCUCCAACAUAAGUAAUAUCGUAUGUGUAAAAUAAUUAUAAUCUUUGUGUGUUAGCUAAAAAGAACUUCUAGACAAAUCUCAAAGUUUCGUCAAAUAAUCCUCCUCUAAUUUGUUGUAAGCGUGUAUAAAAAUAAGUCAGUAUAGAAAUAAAAUUAUUGAAAAUUAUAAAAACUAAUCAUUAGCGAAUUUCUAAUUUCACGUGUCAAUUGUAACACAUGUUCAAAGAUAUUUCAUGUGUAAUAAGAUAGCGAGAUAAUUGUAACGUAUUAAUUCUGUUUUAAUACAUAUGUAUUCCAUUAAGAAAAAAAAAAUUACAUAA
rnacentral:lncRNA from 1 species